rfam:Triticum aestivum genome assembly, contig: Triticum_aestivum_CS42_TGACv1_scaffold_080973_1DS
UUAAUACUCCCUCCGUCCGAAAAUACUUGUCAUCAAAAUGGAUAAAAGGAAAUGUAUCUAGACGUAUUGAUGACAAGUAUUUUCGGACCGAGGGAGUAUAAU